CUGGUAACUGGCUACCCAAAUGGGUAACUGGCUACCCAAAUGGGUAAGUGGCUACCCCACCACCCAGAACUGGCCCUGCACAGCUGCCGAGCUGCCCCCACAGCCACAAUGAGUGGAACUCCACAUCUGGGUGGAACUCCACAUCCACGUUCCACAUCUGAGUGGAACUCCACGUCUGAGUGGAACUCCACAUCUGAGUGGAACUCCACAUCUGAGUGUGGAACCCCACGUCCACGUUCCGUGUAACUCCACGUCCCUCUCACUGGGUGCUCCUCCUCUCCCUGACCCCAAGGCCCAGGAGAACUCCGCUGCCCCUCGCUGCGAGCCCAGGGCAGCAGAUCCACCCCCGGCAUUUUGGCCCAGCACUCUCCAGCACCCACCCAGCUCCUGGCCAGCACUAUGCACCGCUAGGCUACAGCCAAAAGCUGGGGCUGAAAGCAAAACCCCUCAGCGAGUCACAAGAAAAUACAAGACACAGAAGCUUAGAUCUCAAGCACUGAGAUUAUGUUGUACAAGGCUUGCACAGCAGCAAGUAUCAGGGUGAAACGUUGCAGCAGGAGAGGACAAUAUAUACUGAGUUCUAACUUUCCUCAAGAGAAAGCCAGAGAAUGAGCUCAAAUAUGUAAAUCUGGGAUAUACAAAAUACUCAACUCAAGAGAAGUAAGAAGCUAAUCAACAGUCUGCAGACUGUGAAGAAUCAAAAUAUACAAUAUAGAAAUAUACUA